AACGAACGUUGGCGGCGUGGAUGAGGCAUGCAAGUCGAGCGAGAAAGUUCCUUCGGGGACGAGUACAGCGGCGGACGGGUGAGCAAUACGUAAUCAAGCUGCCCUUCAGACGGGGAUAACCACGGGAAACCGUAGCUAAUACCCGAUAUUCCGGUUGGACGCAUGGUCGACCGGGCAAACGGCGGGGACCCUUCGGGGCCUGUUGCUGAGGGAUGCGAUCACGGCCUAUCAGCUAGUUGGCGGGGUAAUGGCCCACCAAGGCAACGACGGGUAGCCGGCCUGAGAGGGUGGUCGGCCACACUGGGACUGAGACACUGCCCAGACUCCUACGGGAGGCUGCAGUCGAGAAUCUUCCGCAAUGGGCGAAAGCCUGACGGAGCGACGCCGCGUGGAGGAUGAAGGCC
rnacentral:rRNA from 1 species